rnacentral:misc_RNA from 1 species
GAAGUCUAGACAAGAAUUUACCAUCAAACCAAAUCACAAUCUAGAGAGACACUACAGUUUUAAUUUAAGGUUUAAAAAUUUUAAUAUCUCUAAGCCUUAAACCAAAACCAACCCGAGGAAUGGCAAUGGGCAGGUGAUAGACUUCUGGUUUCCGGGACUCGUCCUGGACUCCCAAAGCAGUGAUAUCCCUCAGUAAAAUAGAUGGGGCAGGUGGAAUUUCCU